GACGAACGCUGGCGGCAUGCCUUACACAUGCAAGUCGAACGGCAGCACGGGUGCUUGCACCUGGUGGCGAGUGGCGAACGGGUGAGUAAUACAUCGGAACGUACCUUAUCGUGGGGGAUAACGCAGCGAAAGCUGUGCUAAUACCGCAUACGCCCUGAGGGGGAAAGCGGGGGAUCGCAAGACCUCGCGCGAUUAGAGCGGCCGAUGCCUGAUUAGCUUGUUGGUGGGGUAAAAGCCCACCAAGGCGACGAUCAGUAGCUGGUCUGGGAGGACGAUCAGCCACACUGGGACUGGGACACGGCCCAGACUCCUACGGGAGGCAGCAGUGGGGAAUUUUGGACAAUGGGGGCAACCCUGAUCCAGCAAUGCCGCGUGAGUGAAGAAGGCCUUCGGGUUGUAAAGCUCUUUUGUCAGGGAAGAAACACCGGCUCUAACACAGUCUGGGAAUGACGGUACCUGAAGAAUAAGCACCGGCUAACUACGUGCCAGCCGCCGCGGUAA
rnacentral:rRNA from 1 species